CCUUUCAAUUAACUAUCGAUAUAUCUGGUGUUUUACGUAAGACUGAGUCCCAAUAUUAUUGCACAUUCGGUAGCAAAGAUGUUGACACCACAUGUCGUCUGAUGAUGACUUUUACGGAUCGAAUAAGGUUUGGUCAUUGUAUUCCCUGAAAGGAAUGAGAGGAGAAAAGAAACUGGAAGACCUGGCUAUCUGCAAGCCAAUGCUGGCUGCAGGUCAAUAUUGAAUGCUCUUAUGAAAACUCAUAAGACAAUAACAAAAAAAGAAGCUGAGGAUGCUGUUUUUAAAACAUGCUCCAUUCAAAAAAGGUGGAUUGAAAUUUAAGAAAGGUGUGACGGGUGCGUCUGCUGCAGGCAGGGAGGAUUUGACGGUCAGCCAGAGGAUUUGGAGAUAUACUGUAAUGUCUUUAAUGUGGACUUGCGUGUGAUUUAAGUUUUCACAAGGGUUUUAGUGUGUGUGAAAGUAUGUCAGUUUUCAAAAUUGAGCUAUGUCAAUUUGCUCAAACUACAUAACUCAAAGAACUUUGAAGCGGUCUUGUUGACGUCAUGAGCUUUUGUUUAAUACCAGUAUUGGUGAUAUAGGCCCAUGAUUAUAUACUGUAGAAAGUGAACAAGUUCACUGCUCGAUACAGAUAGUCAUAUAGCCUGAUCUCUGAAUGAUAUUUAUGAACCAAAAGAAGGCAUAAAAUAAAAACAUACAGUAGUGAUUUGAA
rnacentral:lncRNA from 1 species